rnacentral:rRNA from 1 species
GCAGUAGUCAUAUGCUUGUCUCAAAGCUUAAGCCAUGCAAGUCUCAGUACAGACUAUAUUAAAGUGAAACCGCAAAAGGCUCAGUAAACCAGUUUUAAUUUACUAGAGUUAACUUGACUGUGCUUGGAUAACUGUGGUAAUUCUAGAGCUAAUACAUGCAACAAAGCCGUGACCAUUCGUGGUCAGGGCGCUUUUAUUAGACCAAGACCAAUCGCCCGGCCAGUCCGGGCGUUAAGUUGAGGAACCUAGAUAACACAGCAGAUCGCAUGGUCUUUGUACCGGCGACCUAUCUUUCAAAUGCCUGACUUAUCAACUGACGAUGGUAGACUCUGUGUCUACCAUGGCUGUUACGGGUAACGGGGAAUCAGGGUUCGAUUCCGGAGAGGGAGCCUGAGAAACGGCUACCACAUCCAAGGAAGGCAGCAGGCACGCAAAUUACCCACUCCCGGAACGGGGAGGUAGUGACAAAAAAUAACGAUACGGGACUCGAUAUGAGGCCUCGUAAUCGGAAUGAGUACACUCUAAAUCCUUUAACAAAAAUCUAUUGGAGGGCAAGUCUGGUGCCAGCAGCCGCGGUAAUUCCAGCUCCAAUAGCGUAUAUUAAAGUUGUUGCGGUUAAAAAGCUCGUAGUUGGUUCUGCGUCCCGCGCUGUCGGUACACCGUUUGUCGGUGACACUGGCAUGACGCGGGAUGUCCUGUCGGUGGCGGCGGAGACCAUAUCGCCGUCGGCUAACACCGCGGCGUGUUGGCCUUCUGUCGCCGGCUUUAUCCUACCGCGGUGCUCUUCACUGAGUGUCGAGGUAGGCCGACACGUUUACUUUGAACAAAUUAGAGUGCUUAAAGCAGGCAAAAAUCUCUGCCAGAAUAGUGGUGCAUGGAAUAAUGGAACAGGACCUUGGUUCUAUUCUGUUGGUCUCCGGAACACAAGGUAAUGAUCAAUGUGGACAGGCGGGGGCAUUCGUAUUGCGGCGUUAGAGGUGAAAUUCUUGGAUCGUCGCAAGACGCACUAGAGCGAAAGCAAUUGCCAAGUAUGUCUUAAUUGAUCAAGAACGAAAGUUAGAGGUUCGAAGGCGAUCA